rnacentral:rRNA from 1 species
UGGGGCUACAUGCAGUCGACGAUGAAGCCGUGCUUGGCCCGCUGGAUUAUUGGCGAGCGGGUGAGUAACACGUGAGUAACCUGCCCUUCUCUCAGGGAUAUCCUCGCGAAAUCGGGGCUAAUACCGGAUAUGACUGUCCACUGCGUGGGGGAUGCUGGAAAGUUUUUCGUUGAGGGAUGGACUCUCGGCCUAUCAGUUUGUUGGUGAGGUAAUGGCUCACCAACACCAUGACGGGGAGCCGGCCUGAGAGGGCCACCGGCCGCUCUGGGACUGACACACGGCCCAGACUCCUACGGGAGGCAUCAGGGGGGAAUAUUGCACAAUGCGCGAAAGCCUGAUGCAACGCCGCCGCAUGAGGGAUGACGGCCUUCGGGUUGUAAACCUCUUUCAGUACGGAAGAAGCAAAGGUGACGGUACCUGCAUAAAAAGCGCCGGCUACCUACCUGCCCCCAGCCGCGGUAAUACGUAGGGUCGCAAAGCCAUUAUCCCGGAAAUUAUUUGGCCGUAAAAGAACUUCGUAGGCGGCUUUGUCAGCGUCUAGCCGUGAAACUCAAAGAGGCUGCAACUCUAGGACCUGCAGUGGGUACGGGCAGACUACAGUGCGGUAGGGGAGACUGAAACUCCUGGCGUAGCGCUGAAAUGCACAGAUAUCAGGAAGAACACCGAUCGCGAAGGCAGAUCUCUGGGCCAUAACUGACACUGAGAAGCGAAAGCAUGGGGAGCAAACAGGACUUAGAUACCCUGGUAGUCCACCCCGUAAACGUUGGGAACUACGUUGUGGGCUCACAUUCCACGGAUUCUCGUGACGCCGUAGAUAACGCACUAACUGCCCCCCCCGGGGGAGUACGGGCCGCAAGGCUAAAACCUCAAAGGGAAAUUGACGGGGGGCCCCCGCACUAAGCCGGCGGAAACAAUUGCGGCAUUUAAUUUCCGAAUGCCAAACGCGAAGAACCUUACCAAGGCUUGACAUACACGAGAACAUCCCAGAAAUGGGGGACUCUUUGUACAGUCGUGAACAGCUGGUGCAUGGUUGUCGUCAGCUCGUGUCGUGAGAUGUUGGGUUAAGUCCUGCAACGAGCGCAACCCUCGUUCUAUGUUGCCAGCACGUAAUGGUGGGAACCUCAUGGGAUACUGCCGGGGUCAAAUCCGAGGAAGAGUGGGGAUAACGUCAAAUCUUCAUGCCCCUUAUGUGUUGGGGUUCACGCAUGUUACACUGGCGCGGUGCAAAAGGGAUGCACAUACCGCUGAGGGGGAGAGAAUAUCUAAAAAACCGGUCUCACGAUUUGGAGAGAGGUGGUGCAAAUCUGACCUCACGAAAUGCGGAGGUUGCUAUGUAAUUGCAGAUCACCACACGCCGCGGUGAAUACGUUCCCGGGUCCUUGUACACACCGCCCGUCAAGUCAUGAAAAUUUUUAACACCGAAAGCCGGUGCCCAACCCUUUGAGC